ACUAUGUUGCUUAAGCUUUUGUUCCUCUUACCUAAACCUCCAUCUUGUGGGCUUCCCUUAUUGUUUAAGUUUCACAUUCCUCCUAGUUAGGAGGCUAGCCUGCAGCCUCGUCUCCAUGGUUACUCUCUGACCUCAGCCCUCAGAACUUCCCGCCCUCACUUGUUUAUAAGCAACCGCCUUGUAGCUAAUAAACGAGACUUGAUCAGAUCCUUGACUUGUCUCCAUUCUCCGCGUCUCCUGUCUCUCUCUUUUAAUCCCCACUCCCUUCCUAGGGUCUCCGUUGCUCAUCCUGCGGGUCGGGACACACUCUCACUGGAUGGAUCCUGGAAACAGAUCAUGGGUCAAAUCAGAAACCUGACUGAUGAACGUCUCUGUCAAUGCUAAAAUAUUGGGGGGGCCAAGCAUGAUGGCUUAUACCUGUAAUCCUGGCACUUUGGGAAGCCAAGGGAGACUAACCUAGAUUAUCUGGAUGGGCCCAACUACUCACAAGUAAGACAUAGUGAGACACUCUAUCCGCCAUUGCUGGCUUUAAAGAUGGAAGAAGGCCCUGAUCCAAGGAAUGUGGGCAGCCCUUCGAAGCUGGAAUGGAGAAGAGAAAUACUAUUCUUCUAGUCUCCUGAAGAGAAUCAGCGCAAUAAAACUAAUUUUGACUUUUGACCACCGGCAUUAUAAGAUGACAGUUUUGUGUUGUUUUAAGCCACUGAGUCUGUGAUGCUUUGUUACAGCAGCUGUAGGCAACUAAUGUGCGGGGUCAGCAGUUUCAACCAGGGAAACAUUGACUUGCUCUCCUAGAACAUUGCUGGAGCCUCAUAACUGGUGCUGCUUCCAGCCUGGCAUCACACCCUGCCUCUACUGUAUUCUCAGCAACGCAGCUGGAGCGAUGCCUUUGAAACAUAGGUUGGGCCACAGCGGUCCUUCCCUGGCUGCCCUCUCCCACCUCUCCUGGACACCACUACAUUCCCAGCACCUACAAUGGAGCCUGGGCAUGGUGUUUCCUCAGCACCUGCUACUAAUGAAGGAACUGA